ensembl:snRNA U6 U6 spliceosomal RNA
GUCUGCUGAGUCCACAGUAAGACACACACUAAAAUUUGAAUGAUACCAUGAUUAGCAUGGGCCGUGAGCAAGAAUGUCAUGCAAAUUUGUGAGGUGUUCCAUUUCUUU